UACGGGGGGGGCAAGCGUUGUUCGGAAUUACUGGGCGUAAAGGGCUCGUAGGCGGCCAACUAAGUCAUACGUGAAAUCCCUCGGCUUAACCGGGGAACUGCGUCUGAUACUGGAUGGCUUGAGUUCGGGAGAGGGAUGCGGAAUUCCAGGUGUAGCGGUGAAAUGCGUAGAUAUCAGGAAGAACACCCGUGGCGAAGGCGGCCCUCUGGGACGGUACUGACGCUGAGACGCGAAAGCGUGGGGAGCGAACAGG
rnacentral:rRNA from 1 species